AAGUCGAACGAUGAACCUGGGAGCUUGCUCUGGGGGAUUAGUGGCGAACGGGUGAGUAACACGUGAGCAACCUGCCCCUGACUCUGGGAUAAGCGCUGGAAACGGCGUCUAAUACUGGAUACGAACAACAAUCGCAUGGUUAGCUACUGGAAAGAUUUUUUGGUUGGGGAUGGGCUCGCGGCCUAUCAGCUUGUUGGUGAGGUAAUGGCUCACCAAGGCGUCGACGGGUAGCCGGCCUGAGAGGGUGACCGGCCACACUGGGACUGAGACACGGCCCAGACUCCUACGGGAGGCAGCAGUGGGGAAUAUUGCACAAUGGGCGGAAGCCUGAUGCAGCAACGCCGCGUGAGGGAUGACGGCCUUCGGGUUGUAAACCUCUUUUAGCAGGGAAGAAGCGAAAGUGACGGUACCUGCAGAAAAAGCGCCGGCUAACUACGUGCCAGCAGCCGCGGUAAUACGUAGGGCGCAAGCGUUAUCCGGAAUUAUUGGGCGUAAAGAGCUCGUAGGCGGUUUGUCGCGUCUGCUGUGAAAUCCCGAGGCUCAACCUCGGGCCUGCAGUGGGUACGGGCAGACUAGAGUGCGGUAGGGGAGAUUGGAAUUCCUGGUGUAGCGGUGGAAUGCGCAGAUAUCAGGAGGAACACCGAUGGCGAAGGCAGAUCUCUGGGCCGUAACUGACGCUGAGGAGCGAAAGGGUGGGGAGCAAACAGGCUUAGAUACCCUGGUAGUCCACCCCGUAAACGUUGGGAACUAGUUGUGGGGUCCAUUCCACGGAUUCCGUGACGCAGCUAACGCAUUAAGUUCCCCGCCUGGGGAGUACGGCCGCAAGGCUAAAACUCAAAGGAAUUGACGGGGACCCGCACAAGCGGCGGAGCAUGCGGAUUAAUUCGAUGCAACGCGAAGAACCUUACCAAGGCUUGACAUAUACGAGAACGGGCCAGAAAUGGUCAACUCUUUGGACACUCGUAAACAGGUGGUGCAUGGUUGUCGUCAGCUCGUGUCGUGAGAUGUUGGGUUAAGUCCCGCAACGAGCGCAACCCUCGUUCUAUGUUGCCAGCACGUAAUGGUGGGAACUCAUGGGAUACUGCCGGGGUCAACUCGGAGGAAGGUGGGGAUGACGUCAAAUCAUCAUGCCCCUUAUGUCUUGGGCUUCACGCAUGCUACAAUGGCCGGUACAAUGGGCAGCGAUACCGUGAGGUGGAGCGAAUCCCAAAAAGCCGGUCCCAGUUCGGAUUGAGGUCUGCAACUCGACCUCAUGAAGUCGGAGUCGCUAGUAAUCGCAGAUCAGCAACGCUGCGGUGAAUACGUUCCCGGGUCUUGUACACACCGCCCGUCAAGUCAUGAAAGUCGGUAACACCUGAAGCCGGUGGCCUAACCCU
rnacentral:rRNA from 1 species